rnacentral:rRNA from 1 species
UACGAAGGGGGCUAGCGUUGUUCGGAAUUACUGGGCGUAAAGCGCACGUAGGCGGCUUCUUAAGUCGGAGGUGAAAUCCUGGAGCUCAACUCCAGAACUGCCUUCGAUACUGGGAAGCUCGAGUCCGGGAGAGGUGAGUGGAACUGCGAGUGUAGAGGUGAAAUUCGUAGAUAUUCGCAAGAACACCAGUGGCGAAGGCGGCUCACUGGCCCGGUACUGACGCUGAGGUGCGAAAGCGUGGGGAGCGAACAGG